rnacentral:rRNA from 1 species
UACGUAGGUGACCAGCGUUGUCCGGAUUUACUGGGCGUAAAGAGCGCGCAGGCGGUCGUUCAAGUCGAAUGUGAAAGCCCCCGGCUCAACUGGGGAGGGUCAUUCGAUACUGAUCGACUCGAAGGCAGGAGAGGGAAGUGGAAUUCCCGGUGUAGUGGUGAAAUGCGUAGAUAUCGGGAGGAACACCAGUGGCGAAGGCGACUUCCUGGCCUGUUCUUGACGCUGAGGCGCGAAAGCUAGGGGAGCAAACGGG